rnacentral:misc_RNA from 1 species
GAUGAAGGACGUAGCGAAAUGCGAUACGUAAUGUGAAUUGCAGAAUUCAGUGAAUCAUCGAAUCUUUGAACGCAUAUUGCGCUCUCUGGUAUUCCGGAGAGCAUGCUUGUUUGAGUAUCAGUAAACACCUCAACUUCCAUAUCUUUUUUGAAAUGGGAGUUGGACUUGAGUGAUCCCAACGCUUUUCCUCACCGAAAAGUGGCGGGUUACUUGAAAUGCAGGUGCAGCUGGACUUUUCUCUGAGCUAUAAGCAUAUCUAUUUAGUCUGCCUAAAAAACAGAUUAUUACCUUUGCUGCAGCUAACAUAAAGGAGAUUAGUUCUUGUGCUGACUGAUGCAGGAUUCACAAAGACGGCUUCGGCCGACUUUGUAAACUCGAUCUCAAAUCAAGUAAGACUACCCGCUGAACUUAAGCAUAUCAAUAAGCGGAGGA